rnacentral:rRNA from 1 species
UACGGAGGGGGCUAGCGUUGUUCGGAAUUACUGGGCGUAAAGCGCGCGUAGGCGGACCUGCAAGUCGGGGGUGAAAGCCCGAGGCUCAACCUCGGAACUGCCUUCGAUACUGCGGGUCUCGAGUCCGGGAGAGGUGAGUGGAAUUCCUAGUGUAGAGGUGAAAUGCGCAGAUAUCAGGAGGAACACCGGUGGCGAAGGCGGCUUGCUGGGCCUUACCUGACGCUGAGGAGCGAAAGCGUGGGGAGCGAACAGG